UUGGGAAGUAAAAGUCGUAACAAGGUUUCUGUAGGUGAACCUAUGGAAGCAUCAUUG
rnacentral:rRNA from 1 species